ensembl:lncRNA
UGCAGUAGAAAAACACUGGCUGUUUAUUAUAUCACCCUGUCACAGACUCUCCCGGUCGAUAAGAUUGCCUGCUGCAAUUGUUCGAGAGCUGUCCGAACAUGCAGCAUAGAAAAGACCAGUAAGGGGGGUCCUUAUUAGCAUCAUGCAGACAAGCCCUCGCUGUGAGCAUUCCUAUGAAUGGAACAGUCAGCCAUGUGUCGGGAAGUGUCCGGCCAGCGACCGUCCCCUGUCAACAGCAACAGUUUUCUCAAGCUCAUCAUUUGUACAAACACGGAAGUAUCUUUGGUGAGUGGCCAGGAGCUGACCUACGCUGCUAUGUACAUCAACGGGGCUCUGGCAAAGACCUCACCUCCAGCCUCGCCUCUUGCCUGCUCCCCAACGGUGGCCGACGGCGAGAACAGAAUUAGAUGCAUGAGAUGCGGAGAGACCGGGCACUCAACCCAUCCACUCAACCCAUCCACUCAACCCAUCCACUCAACCCAUCCACUCAACACAUCCACUCAACACAUCCACUCAACACAUCCACUCAACCCAUCCACUCAACAC